GACGAACGCUGGCGGCGUGCUUAACACAUGCAAGUCGAACGGAAAGGCCCUGCUUUUGUGGGGUGCUCGAGUGGCGAACGGGUGAGUAACACGUGAGUAACCUGCCCUUGACUUUGGGAUAACUUCAGGAAACUGGGGCUAAUACCGGAUAAGAGCUCCUGCUGCAUGGUGGGGGUUGGAAAUUCUCGGCGGUUGGGGAUGGACUCGCGGCUUAUCAGCUUGUUGGUGGGGUAGUGGCUUACCAAGGCUUUGACGGGUAGCCGGCCUGAGAGGGUGACCGGCCACAUUGGGACUGAGAUACGGCCCAGACUCCUACGGGAGGCAGCAGUGGGGAAUAUUGCACAAUGGGAGGAAGCCUGAUGAAGCAACGCCGCGUGCGGGAUGACGGCCUUCGGGUUGUAAACCGCAUUAGCCUGUGACGAAGCGUGAGUGACGGUAAUGGGUAAAGAAGCACCGGCUAACUACGUG
rnacentral:rRNA from 1 species